UACAGAGGUGGCAAGCGUUGUUCGGAAUUACUGGGCGUAAAGGGCGCGUAGGCGGCCAUCUAAGUCAGACGUGAAAUCCCCCGGCUCAACCUGGGAACUGCGUCUGAUACUGGAAGGCUUGAGUAUGGGAGAGGGAUGUAGAAUUCCAGGUGUAGCGGUGAAAUGCGUAGAUAUCUGGAGGAAUACCGGUGGCGAAGGCGGCAUCCUGGACCAUUACUGACGCUGAGGCGCGAAAGCUAGGGGAGCAAACGGG
rnacentral:rRNA from 1 species